UCCCCGGAAUCGAUUAAAUAAAUUCCUUGAUUUUGGUAGCCCGUUACUGGGAUGUGAUAAAUAUUAUUUAAAAAUAUCAAUAUAAUUUGAUAUCACUGAGCUCUAAAAUUCCUCACUAGCUUUGAUACCUCCCCCAGUUACUUUUGUAGGUCUUUUUGAGCCUUACGACUCAUAUAAUGUGCAGACUUCCAAGGCAUUGUUAGCUGUUGAUUCCGAGGAGUUAUUAAAAAACGUCAAAAGGCGUAAUUUUAGAAGCUUGAGAUGAAAAACCCGACUUGAAGUAAAUUUUUCAAUAUUUGAAUUGGUCCUAAACAGAUUCAGGAGUUUCUUGGACGCUCCGGUAUGGGUAAAAAAAAUUGAGUAAAUGUUCGGUGAAAGAUUUCAUAUGAGCUUCAACAAGUUUCAUUGGAAGAUCUCGAUUUAUGUCAUCAGGUUCUUAGAGUGCAAAGAGUCGACGUAAAACAUGAAGGGCUCAAAAGGAUGAAUACAAAGAGAAUGUGCAACAGGAUUCGACAGUUUGAAAUGUUUCCCAUUCCCAAUAUAAUUUCAAAGUUUUGUGAGGCAAAACACUCAAGACGUUUUCGACGGCCUAUCCAGGACGCUCCUUUGUUGAGAACCAACGACACAGACUGAAUCACCCAGAUCCUUUCUUUAAAAGAAAUGUUUUGUAGUCUAUACAUCUGUCCAUCAGUUGGCAAAUUUCUCUCAGUAACACAUAAACGUUAAAUGAAGCUAUUGCGAGACUGUCGCCUCUCAUUAGAUUGGAGCUCUCUGCCUUUGGCGUACCGUUUUCAGUUUUGUUAGGUCAAUAAAACUGCCAAAAUUGGCCUAAAGCCGGGUAGUAAUUCCUAAACUCGAUAAAAAGAGUUUUACAGGGAAAUCUUGGCUCCCCUCUUAACACUAACUGUCAAAAGUUCUAAGUCCUAUUUGCCUGUUUGUUUUAUGAAAAAAUAUUUUUUGAUUUAUUAUACAGGGUGUUUUCUAAUUGCAUGUCAAUAAUUAUGGAGGCGGUUCGUAUGAACAUCUCAACUUUUGUUUUCAAAAAUAUGUUUUUUAAAUAACUGUAAUACCACUUUAGAUAUUUUAAUAAAAUCUGGCAUAGAUGUACUAUGUGGCGACCGUACGAAAUUUCAUGUAGCUAUUUUGGCAGACAUUGAUGGUACGUCACUGAUUUCUCCUGUCAAUCGUAUGUAGGGUUUUCACUUAAAAAAAAAAUAAAAUCUUCUCUUCUCUUCUCUGUAUGUGAUUCAAAUAUUCUCUUACUGCAACACUAAAGUGAGCAGAGCUGCCAUCAUGCAUGAACUACAUUCUGUUCCUAAUUAAAUAUGGUACUUCUAGCAUUAUUGGCAAUUCCCCUUCUAACCUUUUUUGCAGGAAAACGGGAUAAUGCAGAAUUGUGUCCAAAAACUAUUAACAAUUAUUAACAUUGGAAAGUAACGAUUGGAGUCGUUGAAUAUGAUAUGGGUACCAUAGAAAAUUCUUUUAACUUAUUAUUUGUAUUAUUGAGGUAAGGCAGAUCUCCAGAUAGUUACCAAAAGAAAUUGCAUCAGGCUCAAGCUCCAGUGGGCGCGAUCUGUGGCCGCGAACGUGCGUUGACGUAAUCCGAGGAUAGUGAGUAGGAAGCCCCAGGAGUGAAGUGGUUAAAACAAUCCUUGAUGUGAUCCAAUGAGCAGUGCAAAUAGUAUAUGGGAAGUCAAAUUAAAAAGGAAAAAAAAGAAGGCCGUCGAUGUGAGGUGGCCUUAUAGGUUGAGCGUUAUCCUUAAAAACCUCUCUCCGCUAAAUCCGACCAAGUCGGGGGUACAAACGAUCACGUCUGUUUACCCACUUAUUCCGGAGAUCAGGGUUAUCAGUACCCCUCUAAAUCCGCAAUAUGCGUGAGCUUUAAGCGACUCCUUACAAAAACAGUCUGGACAAGGGAAAACUUACAGGAAGUACGCUGCUUACCGGCGGGAAAAAGAACACCAAAACCGCCAAAGAAAAGAAAAGGGACCAGAGAAUGAUCGCAGGUCUGUGACCACCACCCGUUCCGCGCAUAGGGUACGCAGUACUAUGCAUCAGCUGUUUUCGUUUACUUCAAAACAAAUAAUAAAUUUCCAAACAAGCACCGAAACGAAGGAAAUGCGGCUUUUAAACGGAGUUUUGGAAACCGGGAGAGUUUACAACCCUCGGCGCGCCCACCGUCCGUUACUAGUUGGUCGUAAUUCGAGCCAUUUCAGGUAUUAGCAGCGCUACAAAAAUUAUUUAUGCUACACACAUACAAGGCAAGAUAUCAUAUACUAUAUUUUAACAAACCAAGCAGCCUUCAGAUACCACGAUAAAAAUUGUUAUUAUCUGCUCAAGGCUUGUAGCAUUUAAAGAUUCAUUUUAGAUUGGGCCGGAACCUAUCAAAAUGAUGCACUUUAUAACAUGGAAUUUGACUGAGCAUAGCGGUUGUCACAGUUUAAUAAGCCCCAUCGAUCUAUAACCUACCUCCCCCAAGGGUCAAAAUGAAAAGAGAAAUGGCAUAGGUACAAAAGCAAAAAGAAAAUCGUAACAUAAUAAAAAAGAAUUAUGUAAGUUAAAGUUUUAAAAAGUUGCCCCUUGUACCGUUUCACUAUUAACUAAUUUAAAAUUCUCGCAUAUAAAAUUGUGGCGCAUUCGCUAAGAAUGCAAAAAAACAAAUAUCGCCCUUCCACCAUCGCACCAUAAUAAUGAAAAAGAAAGCAAUUUU